GGAGAGGUAGCCGAGCGGUUUAAGGCUCUAGUCUUGAAAACUAGCGAGGUGUCAAAGCUUCCGUGGGUUCGAAUCCCACCCUCUCCGCCA
rnacentral:tRNA from 1 species